rnacentral:tRNA from 1 species
GGGGUUGUGGCUCAGUGGUAGAGUGCUCACCUAGCAUGUGCAAGGUGCUGAGUCCGAUCCUCAGCACCACA